CCCAAUUCUCAAUCACCAUUCAACCCCGAAAAAACCCUAUCAUUGUCUCUUUCUCCCUCCACCUCCUUCUCCCCUCUGUCGGAAAUUUCAUAUCUCGGAUAUGCAUGUGCCUUUGAUGUUUCGAUGUGUAGAGUCCCGCUUGUACUGUUAGAAAUUCUUUGUUAGAUUUCAAUUUGUUGUCAGCGGUAGUUUUUGUAAUGCUUUUCAAUUGAUUUUCUUUUAUUUGCAGUUUUCCGAAUUGUGAUUUGAAUGUAGUAGCUGUUUUUUUGCGGUAGCUUUUUGAGUAGUGUGUGAUUCUAGUAUUGGAAAUGAGAAAGAGUGAUGUAGAGUUAGGGAUUUUGUAAUCAUUUUGAUGGAAAUGGAGAGCACACGAAGAUCGUUCGACAGAUCUCUUUCGAAAGAGCCGGGACCGAAGAAACCUAGGCUUACAGAGGACUCUGCUGCAGCGGAUCGAAUCACCAAUGGCCGUGCCGGAUUUGUCCAACGUCCUGCUGUUGGCGGAGGCCCGAGGACCCAGAGGGACCGAGACUCGGAGAGUAGCGAUUCUAUGCGGGGGGGAUUUCAUCACCAGACAGGGGCGCAGUUACAUCAGGAACUGGUGACUCAGUACAAGACCGCAUUGGCUGAGCUGACUUUCAAUUCGAAGCCCAUAAUAACCAACCUGACAAUUAUUGCCGGAGAGAGUUUGCCUGCUGCCAAGGCCAUUGCAGCUACUAUCUGCAACAAUAUUAUUGAGGUUCCUAGCGAUCAAAAACUGCCUUCUCUGUAUCUAUUAGACAGCAUUGUGAAAAACAUUGGGAGAGAUUACAUAAAAUUCUUCGCUUCCAGAUUACCGGAGGUCUUUUGUAAGGCAUAUAGACAGGUUGAUCCUUCAAUACACCAAGGUAUGCGGCACCUCUUUGGGACCUGGAAGGGAGUCUUCCCCCCACAGUCGCUUCAGCUGAUUGAGAGGGAACUUGGAUUCACCUCUGCAGCUAAUGUAUCAGCAGCCUCUAGAACUGAAUCACAAGCCCAACGUCCUGCACAUAGCAUUCAUGUAAACCCUAAGUAUUUGGAGGCAAGGCAGCGACUGCAAACCAGCAGGUCUAUCCAGCAACAUCAAAGAGAUCAAGUAAAUAAUCCAGUUCGUGAGAAAAGUUCUGGUAUAGAAUUUGCAGAUGACUAUGGUUCUGGUGUCUUGGGGCGAUCAGGCUUGGGAAGUGGAAGGAUGACAGAACACCUUAAAGAUCCUGGAUAUGACAGGCCCUGGGAUGAAUCAGACAGUGAUUUGAUUGGGAUGGGACAUCAAAAGAAUGGUUUUGGUCUGAAACAUGGAUUAGAAAGCUAUGUUGCCCAUGAAUCUGUAAAUUUUGACUCAGAUCUACAGUCUAAGAAAAAUAUAUCCAGUAGGAACACAAAUGGGAUGAGGGAGAACUGGAAAGACUCUGAGGAGGAGGAGUAUACCUGGAGUGAGAUGAACUCUAGACAUACUGUAGCUGAUGCUCCAACUAAAAAUCAAUGGGCACCAGCCAAUUAUGAUAGAGUGGAUUUUGAAAGCCAUCUCCCAGGACAUCAAAAUAUACAUGAUAUUGGGCCAAGGGAUGAAGAUGAACUCUCAAUUGAUUCCAUCUCUAUGGAUCGCAGCCAAGUGGCUUCGGGGGCUCAAGUGCCAUUGUGGUCACAAAAGCUGCAUCCACCAGAAGGGAGUACACAUUUAGGGAGUGGUAAAACCUUAUCAGCUCAGUCUGAGGGAUAUGCAACUGGGUUGAAUAGCACCAAAAGUACAAUGGGCAAGACCCAUUCUCAGUCACAGCUCGGUCAAACUCAUAUUGGAAUGCCAAGCUUUAAGUUCCCAAUGAAUGAAACACCUUUGUCGAAAGCAUCAAUGAGUCAAGAGCGGCAGACCCUUGCCCCUUCAUCCUCAGCACGAUCAUUAGUGCAUCAACGUCCUCCGUCACCUUCUGUUGCUUCUCACGGCCAGAAUCAAUUUCUAAACAAUUCUUCUGAGCGCAACCCCACAGCUACAGGUCCUCCUAAAGAUCCUAGAAGGCGUCCAGGGCAAAAGAACACGAACUAUCCUGACCAAGUUUCAGAGGAUCCUCCUAUGCCAACUCGGGGAGUUUAUCAGGCCAGCACACAGAAGCCGCAACCUACAAAUCUACGGUCUACGUCCACUAUGGCACCUCCGACUCAACAAAGGAAACAUGCUCCUGCUGCUCGACCAAGGAGUGUUGAAGUCUCUCAAUUUGAGACUUCUGCUCCUGAACACCGCAUGCUACCAUCACAAAUUUCAGGCUCUGGAAGCCGCUCGACGAUGGGGAAUUCGUCUUCUGACCAAUCAAAUCCUUUUACUGUUGAUUCCCCUGGAAAAUCCAUUACUAGUUCACUAACAGGAAGCUUAAAUAACCCUAUUAGUUCUCAAGAAACCAGUCCCGGUUCAUCUGUGAAGAUGCCAAGUGCAGUUAAUUCCACCUCAAAUCCUUUUUCCAGUCUCUUAAGCUCAUUGGUUGCAAAAGGCCUGAUAUCUUCUUCGAAGUCUGAUCCAGUGUUGUCUACAUCACCUAAACCUGAUCUACCUAUGGACAAAGUUCCGGAGACUGCAAAACCUAGUUCAGCUCCAGUUUGUUCUGUUCCAGUCACAUUGUCAAAACCUUUUAUGUCUGUGAGUGACAAGCCAUCUUCAUCUGAGGCUACGCUUAAUGCCCCCUCAACAGAGAAGAUAAAACAUCUUAUUGGUUUUGACUUCAAGCCAGAUGUAGUCCGUAAGUUCCAUCCAGAUGUGAUUAGUGAUCUUCUCUGUAAUCUUCCACAUCUUUGUACCAUAUGUGGUCUUAAACUAAAAUUUCAAGAACAGCUUGACAAACACAUGGAAUGGCAUGCAUCAAAGGUUCCUGAGGAUGACCCCUUGAGCAAGAUGUCAAGGAGUUGGUACACAGAUGUAGUUGAUUGGGUUUCAGGAGUUGGUAAUUCUCAUCUUGAAAGUAGUCCUUUGGAUAUAGGAGGUUCAGGUGAUAUACUAGAAAGUAAUGAGCCAUUGGUCCCAGCAGAUGAGAGUCAAUGUGCAUGUAUAUUGUGUGGUGAGCUGUUUGAAGAUUUCUACGAUCAAGAAAACGAUGAAUGGAUGUUUAAAGGAGCUCUUUACUUAACCAUCCCAUCCCUGAAUGAGGGACUUGGAGCUACAAGUGAUACUUUGGUUCUUAGUCCGAUAGUCCAUUCUGACUGUAUAUCAGAAGACACUAUGAAUGACUUGGGGCUAGCUUAUGAUGUCAAAAUGGAAAAGGAAUAACAUCUCAAGGAGGGAGUAAGAUUUAACGAUGCUCGCUCACAAUCCAUGCCUAUAGCGCCUAGCACGGAAUGAACAGAAAUUUUGCAUUUACAUUGAGCUUGUAGUAUAUGAUCAUAGCUAAUGGCUAUGCACUGUGGCUUGGAUAUGCCAUUGAAGGUAUCAUGCCAGCAUUGGUGUCUGUAUUAUUCCAGAUCUCUUAUAUGAUGAUACCAAAUGCUAAUGUUAAUCUUUCGGCAGGAUGUAAUGCCUAUUUCAGACAUGUUUCUCUGUAUAUGUACCUUGCAACAGGUAAAAUGGAAUUACUAUCAUUUUGUAGACUUCUACUUGUUUUUCGUUUCUCAUGAAGGUUGUAUUAUUUAGGAAACUGGUCUCUUUGCUAAACGAAAGCGUUCUCAGUAACUUGAGAAUCCUGCUUCUGUAUUGGCUCUUUUGACUACUGUUGGUGUUGGUUUCUGUUUGAUGUUUUAAAUUUCCUACAUCUCUGUUAAAGUGAAUUGUAUGGCAAAUAAUUUUAUACUCCAUUUGGAUGGGACUCUGAGUUCUUGUGUGGUAUACGUAUGAAGGAGUAUAUUUGUUAUCAUAGAGUAAUUGGUGAUUGUAUAUUGAACAGUGUAAUUCAAUCGAUUUGGUGAUAGCUUUCUUAA